ACUGCCUUUUACAUUCCGUCUGGAUUUUAUAGCAGGCAAUUUGAGAGAGAGACACAAGGAACCAGGAGUCUUGGCGUGCCUUUACUUGAGGAAGAAUUGUUUUCUGUGCUGCCACAGCAGCCAGCUGCCUCCGUGGCUGGAGCGUCCUCCCUGGCGCUCGCCUUGGCUGCCUGCAUGUGGACUGGCCAGGCGACACGGGCAGGUGCCUGUGGCAGUCGGUGGCAGCUCAGAGGAGCAGUGCGCACCUACGGUUGGGAUCUAUACACGUUUGGGAAACCGCAGCUAUGAUGAUACUUCUACCGAAUGCAGGGCUGUACUACGCUAGUCCCAGUUAGCUGCUGGAAGGCUGUUUGGAAGGCCGGGACGAGUCCUGCUGGGGAAGAAGAGGAGCAGGAAGCUGUCUUCUGGAGCAGGAACUAAGAGGAUGAAAUGGGAGGAACUGCAGAUUUAGACUGAUCCGAUUGCUCAACUGUAGCCCAGGGCCAUGGAUCGGGAAGCUAGGAUCGGACUGCAGGAACGCAUCUACAGCAUGCCUGGCUCCUGUGCUCUGCAGAGGAUGCUCCACUCCGUCCGCAGCGAUGCUUCCAGGAGGAGGUCAGCAGCUAAGGAGCGGGCCUUUUUUUCCUUCCCAAAUCCUACGGGGAAGAAGUGACUGCAUGCUAUUCAUUGUUUUGAGAUUAUUUAAGAAACCACUGCUAUUGAACUAGCAGGAGAUCCUCUCGUCCGUGACCUAUGCCAGAGCAUCUGAUUGUUGUGCCCCAGGUGCAGGCCAUAAUUUUCAUGGGAAAGUAUUAAGAACGCAUGAAGAGUGACCGUCCUCUCUGCUAGCCCUCUCUGAUUUGUAUGGGCUUGUCCUGGCCUUUCCAUCCGCAGUGUGGAGGUGGUUGUUUGUUUUCUUCUUAAAUGGUGUCCUGCCUUCCUCCUCUUUUUUGACAAAACUGUACAUACAUGGAGACUCGCUGAGUGUUGAGCACGGCACGUGAAUGGAGGGGCCACUUCAAACUACUUUUGCAAGAAGGGAUUCCGCUCGACAGAUAAUGAAACCAUGGGAUAGACCUCAGGGAGAGUAGACCGCUGCCUUGCUCACCCCCUGCUUUUCACUGUGCCUGGAGGCUAUAAAGUGAGAGGUUGAGUUGCUCAUCAAGAAGCAGCAUCUGCUGGAAGAAUUGCCGUGUGUUGUUGUCCAACAGACCCUACCUCAUGAGCGUUACGCUGUUCCUGGUGUAGCUAUCUCCAGUGUCCAUUCGUUGUGAAGGAAACUAAGAGCAUGACGGAGUCGUCUAUUGAAAGCUUUAGAAGUGCUUCCUGAUCCUAACUACAGCUCAACCCAGCUCUGUGUGAGUCAAGCAUAUUACCUGCUCUACUGAAGCUCAAGGUGUGGCCCAGCGCGUAAAGGCUCAUGAUGGAGAUCUGCACAGGGACUCUGGCUCCGCUGCUGCUUCAGCUGAUUGGGUCUGUAUUGGCCAGAUGAGAAGAGGAAGGGAGACUCCUUGAGGCUUCUCUAGCUCUGACACCAUCUGAGGCUUUAGAAAUGUGGGUUUCAGCUGCGCUUGAUGCAAGUUACUGAAAACUGGCAACCCAGCCCGUAAGCCAGCACAACGCAACCACAAGUUUGGCAACAAAUUCCUGCUGCCAGAUGCCUUUGCUGUUCCUUUAGCUUUCUAUGGAUUCAAGGCACUUCACUCUUUUUUUUGUUGUUGGAAAUGCUUUCAAAGUAGAACACAGUGUUUUGGGUUGUCUAGCCAAAGUUUAGCUGUCCUUUUGCAUCUUUGCCAAACUUCCUGUUUUCAACAAAAACAAUUUAUUAUCUCGCUGGUUCUUUAGACCUGAAAGGAUUUGCAAGCACAAAUAAACUUCUGUUUUUUUCUUUUUUUCAUGGCCUUUCAAAGAAUAAACUCACUUGCUUCCUCUCGAUUAUGUGGUGUAUACUAGCAAAGAGAAGUAUUUAACCUUUGGACUGCUAGUAAGAAUCGGAAAACAUUUUAAUUAUGCAAAACUUCUGCACUCUGAACUUUAAAGAACAGAAACAUUUUUUCAUUUGCUAGAAAUAAUUUUUUUCAGGUGGUUGGGCAAUAGCAUCAGUCUGCCGUGUGCGUGUUAAGGGAGUUGGGAGCGAGCUAAAAUUUGAAAUCUUUGAAGAGAUGUUUUUAAAGACUUUAUUAAUUGACCAAGAGUGAGUGAUAUAUUCUGCUCAGGAACAUUUUGUUCCUAGAGACUUACUAUUGACAAUCCCUGGCAACGCUGUCACAAAAUGGAAAGUCUUUGACAAGUAUGAAGAUGUCUUCCCAUUUAACAACACCAAAUCGGAUCUGUAAGUAAGAAACUAGGCAGAGGAGAUAUGUGUUGGCUCUGAGAGGGAUAGCAAGGCAUUGCUGCAAACCAAAGUCCUGCUGCAAAGGGAUUGGCUGAAUGUAAAAGCAUCUUGUCUCUUAAAAAAAUGAAGUAUAAGUUAUCCAAAAAGGAGGGGGGGGAAUCCUUGUUGUUCACGUUCAAUGCCAUUGGAGUGCAAGGAGGGAGCUUAACAAAAGCAUGCUUGUAAAAUUGACUUCGGCAAGAGUACGUUUUCAGGGUAGGAGGUAGCAACCUGGUAUUAAACAGCUCUUUCUAUGUCUGCUUUGAGAAAUUAUUACACGUUACCUGCAACUGUUUGGAAGAUGUUGAAGUCUUCCUUUUUUUUUGUACUGUACUUCAAAGGAGUUGCAAAUUCUUUGAAGGUGACUUAACAUCUCUUAAAUGAUUCUGAAAGGGGGGAGGGGGAAAUCUAAAGCCUUCCAAAAAGAAGUUUAAGGGAUAUGUUUAAUAUUAUUGUUGGAAAUGUGCUAUAAAUCCUCCACGUUUAUGGGUAUCAAUGUCUUUGAGAUGGCAUUUAUCCUAGCAAAGAGAGAAGGAAUGACUGAUGGAGGGAUGGAUCUUUUUAGGAGCUUAAUAUGUUCCUCCCUGUGUCAUAGGGAAAAUAAAUAAAUAAAAGCAUUUUGUGCAGAACCCCCCAGCCACACAGAAAUGCUCCAACAGUUGGAACUUCCCGAGAGGCUGUGUGUUGGCAGGACACCGCUGUUUUUAUAAGGAAAACUGUGCUUUUAGCUAUUUUUUUUUUUCUUAGGAGUAUGGUGUCUUUUCUUUCUGCAAGUAAUAGGAAGGUCUGAAAAAGGCCGUUUGACGUGUGGAAAGGUCCAAAUGCGAAUAAUGCAAGUAAAAGUGCUUCUGCUUUAAGCAGGAGCCUGCUAUCGAUAGCUCUCCCAUUAUCAGCCUAUCGAUGAGCAAUGGCUCAUGGAAUGAAAUGGAAUUCCAGCACGUGGCGGGCAGAGCAGUGCACAUGUGACUUCCCAGCUGGGAGGACACUGCUCUCGAGUUGACUUUAGGUCCUUGCUCUUUGGAAAGCACGAGCCAGGAGCUGCGUAAAGAUCUCUGCGUUUAUCCUUCCAAAGUGAAAGUGUUUAAGCGGAUAUGGGAAAUAAUUUUGAUACCGCAGGCUUCAAAGAAAUCAACUGUAUUUAGUAUCCUUGGCUCUCAGCUUAAUUUGCCAAAUCAUGCUGCUUCUGAAAUUUAUUGCAAAAUUAUUGUUCUCUGGGGAAAUAAUUACCAUUCCUCUUCCUAGGAUGGGGUGUGUGCGCGCAUAUGUUUGUUAGAAGGGGAAUUGAACCAGACGGGUUUAAAGGAAGCUUUUCUUUCUGUAAUACUGAGCCGAUAUCCAAAAAAGAAAGGGAUGCUUAUCUAUUGAUUCUUGAAUAACAGGAUUGCCUCUUAUUGGCAGGAAAUGCCACUCUGGUGCAGCUUUCCUGGUAGCGAGACUAGUUUGACCUGUGAUGGUUUGUGGAUGAAAUCACCUCCCCGCAAGGUAGCGAUGGGAUUUUGGCUCUGGGGGCUUUCAGCUGGGGCUGUUCAUUGGGCUAGAAAGAGGUGUUUAACAUCCGACAGGGCUGAGCCUGUAGUAAAAGCCUUGAUUCUGGGUGUCCUGGCGUAAACCAUUCCCUGAAAGAAGGAAUUUAAUUAAUGUGUGUACCCUGCAAGGACUUUGUCAGAGGGAAGUGAGUGGCAAAGUAAGUGCCCAGCCUGGGGCUGCAUGGACUUCCCAGGGAAGAACCUGUGUGGGAUGCUGGAACAGACCUACAUUCCAGUGCCCCAAGCUUCCGCAUGGAGUCUGGAGACCACAGUGUUCCACAGGCUUUUUAGGAAGAUGGAUGCUUUGUUUCAGCACAGAGGAGAUGAGCACUUACUGGGGAGGUUAGCACAGAGCCCAGGACCUCCAAAACUGGAGCAGAGCAUUCCAGUGACACCCGCUUCUUUGGUGUAAAUGGGCAGAGGCCUUCCAGCCUGGCUGUGUUUCCAUAUGCAGAGCUUUGUGAUAUACCAUAACGAGAAUUGUUUGCGUCAUUGGAGCUACUCUGUAAUGCCUGAACCAUGUUUCUCUCAUCUGGAACCACCCAACAAAGCCUGGCGUUGGCUGAGAAGCAGCAGUGGCUGCCUGGAACAAGCUGAGAAUUCCGGCUCACAAGCAGAAAGCUGAACUGGGGGGUGCUCAUGUGCCCUCUGGGUAUGUUCAGCGGUGCAGUGAGAGACGGCUGGGCUUCAGUGACCAACUUCUGCACAUGCAGUGGUAGAGGGGAGGAAAGGAUGGCACAGAGCAGCACAAGGGCCUGUCAGCUGCAGCCAUUGCUGGGUUUGACAGGAGCUGGAGCUCCUGGUGCUCAUGACAAAUGGAUGAGCAGUGCGCGGGCUGUGCUGCCUUCUGGGACACACGGUGCCCUCAGACAGGUGCUGUCUGCUCUGGGAGGAGGUAAGGACCAGGAUGGCAUCUCCAGCAGCGUGGAGGCUGGGCCAGAUCUUGGCUCUGAACAGAAGCUUUGCACACCUGACAGCUCACUUUUCUUUUUUAACGCUUCUCCGGUGUUCGCAGCAAAUCUGAGGGAAUGCCUGUAAAAUUUCCUACAUCUGUUUCCUUCCUUAAACUCUGCAGGCAGCUUGUAGGGCUUUGCUUAUAUCCCAUUCAUGGCAGGGAGGGGAGAAUACACUAUUUAUUUAUGUUUAUUCAGUGUUCUUGGAACCUCGCCUGGACUCAGAGCACCUGACAAAUGUUUAAAAUAAGCCAUUAACUAACUCUAGAUGCAACGGUUUCAUGUUUCAGUUCAUCCCUUUCUCUGGAACUGGUUUUUAAUUAAAAGCCUUUCCCCAUAGAACAGAGAAGCACCUUGCCACGCUGGCACAAGCCUGCACCUCCCCUAAAUGUCUCCAUUCCAUUGCUGGAAUUGACCUCGCAAACAGCAGUAGCCUGAGCUGGGAUGAAAAACAGCAUGCACUGUGUGAUCUGAGCUCUGAGAAAUUAGGGCUGGAUGUGCAUUUUGUAAGCAGGGCACCUUCAGGAGACACCCUGUUUACAGGUGCAUGCUUCUUUGCUGAAGUUAAACCAUUUUGGGGACGUGCUUUUUGCACCAGGUUAGCUGCUCUAGGCUGCGAGAUCUCAGCCAAAGCAAUCCCACAAAAUUGAGCUUGGGAGGGGGGGAGGUUGGAACAGUGUUUUGCAAUGGCAAAAUAAAAAUAAUAAUGAAAUAAAGGCAAAAAAAAAACCCUUUCUGGUGCUCUUUUCUCUAAAGCUGCAUGACACUCCCUUGCUUUGGAGCAGAGGCACGAAAGCUGGCAGAGAACUGGCCUUUUGUUUCAAGGCUAUGCCUUUUGCAGUUUCUGUCAGAAUCCACCCACAUUUGCAAAGCUGUCAGGCUUUUAACAAACUUAGCUCAUGCAUAUUCAGCAGGAAGGAGUUGGGUUUUAGCAGCGCAUGGGGCUGUCUGCCCAAAGAGCCUCUGCCUCUUCCCUAGAGAAAGGGCUGUGGGGUGGAAGCUGCACUUUGUGCUGCCCCUUUCCUCGGGCUUUGUAGGGGUGUACUCUUGCACUAGGAAGCUUGCACCUCUGUGUAGCCCUCAGAGCUGCUGGGUGGAAAGAUAAAAUGCCCCAAUGUCAGAUUUGGAUGGUGGAGGAGGGGAACAGCUGGGCACUUUCCCACCAAACCCAAGGUUCCUGAGCUUGAGGGAGGGUGGGAGAGAAGGAGCAGAGAGGCAGUGAGCCCUGGAGAGGGCUUGGUGAGGAGCUGGGGCUCUGGGCAGAAAGUCAGGGAAUGAAGGAUUGAGGUUGGGAGAGGAGGCUGGAGCCUGGAGGGCGUAGUGAUCGUGGCAUAAGGGAUGCUGGUCUGGAAGGGUGAGGGCUGGGGAGGAGAAGAGGGACAAGACGUGGGUUGAAGUAGAUGGAACUGAAGGGGGUCUGUCUUCUGAGUAUUUUCUUCUGCCAUUCUUGCUAUAAAUUUAAUCUGUGCUAAUUCCAGGUUAAACCUGUUUAUUUAAAAGAAAAACAAACAAAAACGCCAAGUGCCAGAAGAAAGAUUGCCUUAAAAGCUCAAAUACUACUGCCUUAUAUCAUGUCCUUCUUCCCAUGUCAACACGUAUGCUAUGUGAGCUGGGAUUUAAGAUAUUUGGCCUGGCUCUCAACUGAGGAGAACUGCUAUAACACUCUCAAAAGCUCUGUACUGAUUUUAACAGGCAGAGUGGAUCCUAUGCACAUCUUCCCACCUCUGUGAGUCCUAACUCUAAGGGGACCAAAGAUGUGCUCUGCUAUUCCCAGACCUGCAGGCAGCCUGGGGUUCCUUAUUAGCAGCCAAGAAGGGAACCUUUCUCUUCCUCUGUAAGUUAUCUUCAUUUUAUUCGGUUCUAAAAUACAUCACUUGAAAGUCUAAAAUAUUUGACAGUUUGUAAAUGUAUUCAAAGCACUGCAGCAUUUAGCAGUGGUCAAAUAUUUAGCAAUAUAUUGCGUACUGUCACAUAUAUUUAAUAUAUGCUCACAGAUGUCACUGGAUAGAAUAGUUAUGUGGAAAAUAUUAUAAUAAAUGUAAAAAUUGUCAUCAUCUGCUGAUGUAAAUGACCCUAAUUUAUUUAGACCACUGACAUGCAUAUAUAUCUUUGCUGUUACUCUUUAUUCUAUAAUUUUAAUAAAUAUCUUGUUUUUUUCUGUUUGUUUCCAUCGUGUGCAAUACCAUGGAAUGAGGUGGAACUUGAAAUGCAGAAGGUAUGAAAUGAAAGUUAUUAGGUGCCUUUCAUUUUUCAGGCAUAGUAAAGUUUAAAUGAGUUCUAACACUCUUGCCUUUAAGUGUCCUGGGACAUCUUGGUGCAAGGAGGGAUUUUUUUUAAUUAGUUUCUUUGCUCAUUUGCUGCUUUCCCUGGUUUUUGCUUGGUCGGUUGGCUUUAGUAUACACUUUGAAGACAGUUUUCUACCCGAGACUUUCUACAAAAUCCUGGAGGAGGUCCUUAAGGUUGUAUGUUGUAGGGCUUGGUUGUUCGUUCUCCACACUGGAACCGUAGUUUUGGCGUCAGCGGGGUUAUGUGCAACCGUGUAACACAUUGUCCAUGUGAGUUACCUGGACUACCAAAAGAGAGGAUCAUUUCUUUUAAUUUUUUUUCUCAUUAAUUUCUCUAUCCCACAUUUGACACCAGCGUGGUGUGGUGUUGUCUAGGGAUGCAAUCCAGCAAACAUCCUAAUAUUCCUGUGGCUGCUGUAGGGUUUACAUGGAGAUCAGCAGACAGCUCUUUGCAGGUGCUGGGUCUUAAAAUACGAAGGCUGCUCUGAAAAUAAUGCCUCCUGUUUUAUUAUGUUGGCUGGUGAUGUCAG